CAUUUGUGUUUUUUAUUUAAAGGAUUUUAUCUACAUAUACAAAAAAAAAGCACGUCUUGAACUCAGGAGUGCCUAUCACUAUUAGCCUGAACCUAAUGUGGUGGAAAAUAAUGAACUGUUAUUAUUUUCCACCACAUCAGGUUUAGUUAAUAUGUAUGGGAUCUUUUAUAAAUUAGUGUAAAGGAAAAGGCUUUGGACAUCAUUGGUCACGUGAUCAAUGUAGAACGAAUCAAGCAUCGUGAUUCGAACUAUUGCGUGUUGUUUUUUCAGCACACGCCUCAAAGCUUAAGAUUUAGGGGUAAAAUCACUAUUUCUUUCUUUCUUUAAGUUCUCAGUUUCUAGUGAGACCAGAACGGAAUUAAGAGUGUCUGAACAGUGGGAAGUCCUUAUAAUGGCACUAAACAGGUGGCUGGAAGACCACCAGCAUCCCCCUUUUAUGAAGUGAAAAUAUUCUCCUGAAAUUCAUCACCAACAACCAGGAUAUUUAUCCCAAGAUCAAAGUUAAACUGCUGAAAGAGGUGAAGCACAAGCCAUCCUGAAGAAUCUCCAGAACACGCAGAAAUUGUUUGAUGCAGACAAAUAAAGCAAAGUCCUGAUAUGGAGAAACAUCAGCACUCUGUCAAGAGUUUUACUAAACAGAGUGAUCUCAAAAAACACCAGCGCAUUCACACAGGAGAGAAACUGUAUCACUGCUCAGACUGUGGGAAGAGUUUUAUUGAACAGAGUAAUCUCAAACGACACCAGCGCAUUCACACAGGAGUAAAACCGUAUCACUGCUCAGACUGUGGGAAGAGUUUUAAUCAAGAGGGUCAUCUCAAACGACACCAACGCAUUCACACAGGAGAGAAACCGUAUCAAUGCUCAGACUGUGGAUCUAGUUUUAAUAGACUGGGGACUCUAAAACUGCAUCAGCGCAUUCACACAGGAGAGAAACCGUAUCAGUGCUCAGACUGUGGGACAAGUUUUACUGUACAGGGUAAUCUAAAAAAACAUCAGCGCAUUCACACAGGAGAGAAACCGUAUCACUGCUCAGAUUGUGGGAAGAGUUUUACUAAAGAGAGUGAUCUAAAAAAACACCAGCGCAUUCACACAGGAGAGAAACCGUAUCACUGCUCAGAUUGUGGGAAGAGUUUUAUUGAACAGAGUAAUCUCAAACGACACCAGCGCAUUCACACAGGAGUAAAACCGUAUCACUGCUCAGACUGUGGGAACAGCUUUAAUCAAGAGGGUCAUUUCAAACGACACCAACGCAUUCACACAGGAGAGAAACCGUAUCAAUGCUCAGACUGUGGAUCGAGUUUUAAUAGACUGGGGACUCUAAAACUGCAUCAGCGCAUUCACACAGGAGAGAAACCGUAUCAGUGCUCAGACUGCGGGACCAGUUUUACUGUACAGGGUAAUCUCAAAAUACACCAACGCAUUCACACAGGAGAGAAACCAUAUUACUGCUCAGAGUGUGGGAUGAGUUUUACUCAACACGGUCAUCUAACACUGCACCAGCGCAUUCACACAGGAGAGAAACCGUAUUACUGCUCAGACUGUGGGAGGAAUUUUAAUCAUCACAGUAAUCUCAAAAAACACCAGAGCAUUCACACAGGAGAGAAAACGGUGUCAAAUCUGUUUAAAGGCAAUUAAAAGUGCGAAUCUUUUAGACAGAACACCUUAUCCUGCACAAAUGUUUCAUCUUGUCACUUGGGACACGUUCCACCAGAAACAAACAUAAACUGAAUUUAACAAUGGAUUUUACAGGUUCAGCAAAAUGACUCUUAUUCAUGGAUGAUGUUUAUAGAAUUUAAUGUUAUGUUUUCUCGUAUGUUUGAUAUUCCAGGACAUUCUUCGUGAGACAGAGCUCAGUUUUAAGGGUAGUUACGUUAUGAGUUUAGUUCUGAAGAAGGGAAGGUCGUUUGAGCGAGGGCACUGCCAGAGCUUGCACCAGAUGUUAGAUUAGCAUAACUUAGUCUUUAAAAUUUAGAUGUCGUAGUUUUAAUUUAUUAAUUUAUUAAUUUAAUUUUCUGUAAACAUUUCAGUGCUUGUGCUUAGAAGGUUUUGAAUGCAUUUAAUCUCUUUUCUAGUAUAUACAGACUUUAUUAUUUCCAUUAAUUUCUAGUAUCUUCGUUUUUGCUCUGUGUUAGUUGCCCAAGAUUAGCAUAGUGUAGCUUAAUGCUAUUAACCAACAGGCCCCUCUGUAUGAAAGGAGAAACACCACCUGAGGAACUCCAGAGAGUGCUCCCAAAAGUGUGACCCAGAGCCACAGAGAGACGACACUGUGCUAGGUACUGCCGUGUGGACCGGAGGAGCAUCCAUACCCGCAGAGAGGCCAACAAAAUCCUUUCCAGAGGUUAAAUAAAACGCUCCAGCUGUAGUUCCCAUACUGAAAUCAACCCACUCCAGGCUUGUGUAGCGCAGUAAGGUUGCAGGCUCAUUCACUCCCUCUGAUGGUGUUCUCAUUUGUCUAUGGUUUAGUCUGAUUAAAAAUCUGUUAGCAUAGAGGGAUAUUUGGUAGCGUUUUAAUACUCAAGUUUUAUACUCUCUUAUCAUUCCCUUAUUGAGUAUUAUAUGUUGUUGAAGUUUUUUUAUCCUCCAAAUUUACUAAGAAUAUCCAAAUCAUCAAGUUUCUUAAUAUUUUUUAUCCACUACCAACAAUUAUGUUUGUGUUGCUUCACCUCUAUAUUUACUCAUCUCUGUGGUUUUAUAAACGGCUUUUAUAUUGCAGAUCUGCAAUCUCAUUGUGUUUUCUCAACAUAUGUUUGACAUGAAACCUAUAGGCCUGAGAUGAUCUUAUGUUAUUAUUUGUUAAAUAUAGUCCAGUGUGAAAUGGAUUUGGGUUGAAAUGAAACAUAUUAGGCAUUUUCACAUUUGAAUUUCAGAAAGAAAUUGAUUUAAUGGUUCAGGCUUUAAAGGGUUAGAUAUACAAUUACUUCCAAUGGUAGAGUAGCAUGUGUGUUUAACGUGUAUUCAUAUGUUUUUUUGUAAUUGUGAAUGCUUGUGGUUUGUGUUGUUCUGUUUUUUGAAGAGCAUAGCCAUUGACCAAUUACACUUAAUUACCAAAAUCUA